UAACGCGUGAGGAACCUGCCUUCCAGAGGGGGACAACAGUUGGAAACGACUGCUAAUACCGCAUGACGCAUUGGUGUCGCAUGGCACUGAUGUCAAAGAUUUAUCGCUGGAAGAUGGCCUCGCGUCUGAUUAGCUGGUUGGUGAGGUAACGGCCCACCAAGGCGACGAUCGGUAGCCGGACUGAGAGGUUGGCCGGCCACAUUGGGACUGAGAUACGGCCCAGACUCCUACGGAAGGCAGCAG
rnacentral:rRNA from 1 species